rnacentral:rRNA from 1 species
UACGUAGGCAGCGAGCGUUGUUCGGAGUUACUGGGCGUAAAGAGUGCGUAGGCGGUUUUCUAAGUUUGGUGUGAAAUCUCCCAGCUUAACUGGGAGGGUGCGCCGAAAACUGGAAGGCUUGAGUAUGGGAGAGGUAAGCGGAAUUCCUGGUGUAGCGGUGAAAUGCGUAGAUAUCAGGAGGAACACCUGCGGUGUAGACGGCUUACUGGACCAUAACUGACGCUGAGGCACGAAAGCGUGGGUAGCAAACAGG